AUUGAACGCUGGCGGCAGGCUUAACACAUGCAAGUCGAGCGGGGGUAGGUAGCUUGCUACCGGACCUAGCGGCGGACGGGUGAGUAAUGCUUAGGAAUCUGCCUAUUAGUGGGGGACAACAUCUCGAAAGGGAUGCUAAUACCGCAUACGUCCUACGGGAGAAAGCAGGGGAUCUUCGGACCUUGCGCUAAUAGAUGAGCCUAAGUCGGAUUAGCUAGUUGGUGGGGUAAAGGCCCACCAAGGCGACGAUCUGUAGCGGGUCUGAGAGGAUGAUCCGCCACACUGGGACGGAGACACGGCCCGGACUCCUACGGGAGGCAGCAGUGGGGAAUAUUGGACAAUGGGGGGAACCCUGAUCCAGCCAUGCCGCGUGUGUGAAGAAGGCCCUAUGGUUGUAAAGCACUUUAAGCGAGGAGGAGGCUCCUCUAGUUAAUACCUAGGGAUAGUGGACGUUACUCGCAGAAUAAGCACCGGCUAACUCUGUGCCAGCCGCCGCCGUAA
rnacentral:rRNA from 1 species